UACGUAGGGCGCAAGCGUUAUCCGGAAUUAUUGGGCGUAAAGAGCUUGUAGGCGGUUUGUCGCGUCUGCUGUGAAAAUCCGGGGCUCAACCCCGGACUUGCAGUGGGUACGGGCAGACUAGAGUGUGGUAGGGGAGACUGGAAUUCCUGGUGUAGCGGUGGAAUGCGCAGAUAUCAGGAGGAACACCGAUGGCGAAGGCAGGUCUCUGGGCCACUACUGACGCUGAGAAGCGAAAGCAUGGGGAGCGAACAGG
rnacentral:rRNA from 1 species